GUUUUCUUCUUUCUUUAGCACAUAUGCUAAAAUUGGAAUGAUAUAGAGAAGAUUGGCAUGGCCCCUGAGCAAGGAUGACAUGCAAAUUCAUGAAGCAUUGUAUAUUUCU